GACGAACGCUGGCGGCGUGCCUAAUACAUGCAAGUCGAACGCUUUUUCUUUCACCGGAGCUUGCUCCACCGACAGAAAAAGAGUGGCGAACGGGUGAGUAACACGUGGGUCACCUGCCCAUCAGAAGGGGAUAACACUUGGAAACAGGGGCUAAUACCGUAUAACACUAUUUUCCGAAUGGAUGAAAGUUGAAAGGCGCUUUUGCGUAACUGAUGGAUGGACCCGCGGUGCAUUAGCUAGUUGGUGAGGUAACGGCACACCAAGGCAACGAUGCAUAGCCGACCUGAGAGGGUGAUCGGCCACACUGGGACUGAGACACGGCCCAGACUCCUACGGGAGGCAGCAGUAGGGAAUCUUCGGCAAUGGACGAAAGUCUGACCGAGCAACGCCGCGUGAGUGAAGAAGGUUUUCGGGUCGUAAAACUCUGUUGUUAGAGAAGCACAAGGAUGAGAGUAAAAUGUUCAUCCCUUGACGGUAUCUAACCAGAAAGCCACGGCUAACUACGUGCCAGCAGCCGCCGCAG
rnacentral:rRNA from 1 species